UACGUAGGGAGCGAGCGUUGUCCGGAAUUAUUGGGCGUAAAGAGCUUGUAGGCGGUUUGUCGCGUCUGCUGUGAAAAUCCGGUGCUCAACCCCGGACUUGCAGUGGGUACGGGGCAGACUAGAGUGUGGUAGGGGAGGACUGGAAUUCCUGGUGUAGCGGUGAAAUGCGCAGAUAUCAGGAGGAACACCGAUGGCGAAGGCAGGUCUCUGGGCCACUACUGACGCUGAGAAGCGAAAGCAUGGGGAGGCAAACAGGAUUAGA
rnacentral:rRNA from 1 species